UCUGGUGAUGAUGGCGAAGAGGUCACACCCGUUCCCAUGCCGAACACGGAAGUUAAGCUCUUCAGCGCCGAUGGUAGUCGGGGGUUUCCC
rnacentral:rRNA from 4 species